AUAGCUUGGAGUGAGAGAGGCCAGUGCACUAGGGGACUGCAUGACUGGAGCAGGAGUAAAGGGAAGGCCCAUGCGUAGGGUGGAUUUCAGCACCAAAAGAAGAGCAGGCCAGUAGCCAGCGAGGCAGGGAUGGAGCAUUGGCCUGGACAUCAUUUGGGAGCCAAUUUUGGAGGCUGGGAGCAGGGGAGUCGGCAGUGAAGAUGUGGGUGGGUUUGUGACAUAAUACACCAGGGAACAAUGAGAACCAGGGACAGGGAGAAAGGAAGCCCCUCUAGUCAUAACUAAGGAAAGUGGCCAAGUGGUGGGGGUAGCAGGGAAGGAGUCCUCUCCCGAAUGUCCCUCCGAGGGCUUGAGGUCGGCUACUGGGCUGGCUAAGGCACAGGAGAUUUCUUGUUGGCCCGGAAGGAGGAGAAAUGAGGUGGCUCUCCCUGGGCAGGUGGCCCGGGCAGCUGGACAGGCUCUCCCUCCCACCCACCGUCAACAGAGCAGGGGAACGGACUGGCAUGGAGACGGUGUGCCUCACUCCGUGCCACAGAACUGUGAUGGGCUAGCCCAGCCAAAGGAGACGUCCUCCCUCUGUGGCGUGUGCUGGGGUUGCCGGCAGUUGAGGAAGGCUAUCCCGAGACCUCUCCGUGGGGCCGUCCACUUGGGUCCCGGUGUCAGCUGUACACUUACUGGCCAGACAGCUGUGGACAGGUCUCCUUUCUGGACUAAUCCAAGGGGAUGAAUGUGCCUCUGUCUCCCUUCGAGGUUGUUGCAAAGAUCAGUACAACGAUGUUUGCACGUCAACGUGCCACGAUUCAGGUCAGGCUGUAUGCGUGGUGUGCAAACUACAAACGAGGCUAGGGAUUAUCGUCAUUCCUAAUAAUAUUUUAUGGUCAGUCUUCCUUUAGGGAAUGUAUUCCGUGUGAUAUUUAAAAAUCCUUCCUCACUGCCCAUGUAAUGCUAUGUCUUGGAAUUGGGAAUGAGAGGCAAUUAGCAGAGGCCUGGGAUCCCAACUCAGUCCAGACCUUGGAAAGUUUCUGAUCUUCCUGAACCCCAUCCCGGAGGCCUCAGUUUUCUCCUCUAUAGUCUGGGCCCCUAAAACCACUAGGGUGCUUUGUGGUGGGAAAUAGCAGAGACCAAAGCAGAGGAUUGAAAGCAAAAAGAAACCCCAAAUUUGACAUUUCCGGGUAGUUGUGUUAUCCGGAGCCACGACCACAAUCACCUCUGCCCCCAACCCAACUUUGACACCCUUCCCUCCUUCACUCCCUUGGGUGGCCUUUGCCCAUCCUGGGAAAGCUCCAAAGCUCCUCCUCCUCCCCCACUGCAUUGCAAAGGGAGGACAGAGGCACAAGGAAAUGGAGAGAAACCCAGACAGAAUCAAAGAACCAGAGACAGAACAGAUACCUAGAGAGAAAGAAUCAAAAGGAGGAGAAUCAAAAAGCAAGAGGAGGCAACAUGCAGUGAAGGACAUUGGGAUUCAGGGCCUCAAAGGCAGAGGCCAAAUGGGGAGAGAG